AGAUUUUUUCAUACACUUGAGACCUCUUCCCUUCUAGACAAAGAAAAAAGAAAAACGGCACACCUUCCCUUUCGUUCUCCUUCUUCUUCAUUUCUAAAAAAACACAGAUAAAGAGAACAAAAUCCUCCCCUUCCAAAAAAAACCUUAGCCUCCCAUCUCUAACAUCACUCAAAAAAUCAAAAAAAAAAGAAAUCGAUCAAAAAAAAGAAAAGAAAUCAGAAGCACACACAAAAUUGUUGAAACAAGAGAAAUGAGAAAACUGGAAUUCUCAAUGGGAUUUGAAGGGGACUGGUUUCGAAAUUUUCCUUUCUUUCUGGGUUUCUAAAGGUUGUUUUGAGCCACGGAGUUGGUGUCUUGUUGAGCUUCAUUUGGUCCUUUCGUCUAUUCAUUUGGUGUUUUUAGCCAAUUUUCGAACAGCUAGGUGUGGAUCUACUUACAAAAGCUUGGGCAUGACAAACGCCUUAGGACCAUCCAUUCAGGAGUUUGCUUAAGGAGAUUUUUUUUUAGUUAUUAUGUUUUGAGUCUGUUGUUUUAUUUAGGUCGUCUUUUACCUUCUAGUUUGUAUAGUAAUGUUGGGUAUUUCAUUUUUGUAUUGGAAAAAGAUGUGUUAUAAAUCAAAAAUCCAAAAAAAAGGAUAUUUUGUGUUUUUA